rnacentral:rRNA from 1 species
CGUCUCAGUUCGGAUUGUAGUCUGCAACUCGACAACAUGAAGCUGGAAUCGCUAGUAAUCGCGGAUCAGAAUGCCGCGGUGAAUACGUUCCCGGGUCUUGUACACACCGCCCGUCACACCAUGGGAGUCGGGAAUGCCCGAAGCCAGUGACCCAAGCGAGAGCAGGGAGCUGUCGAAGGCAGGCCGGAUAACUGGGGUGAAGUCGUAACAAGGUAUC